rnacentral:misc_RNA from 1 species
AUUCGCCUCACUGCGAGCAGGGCAACCAUCUAAGGUGGGGGGGGGGAAGCCGCAUGCUGAAUCCCUCUGACCCACAAACGCUCUCGAGCGCUCACAGCAACGUUGAAGGCUGCUCCUGUUUUGCGCCUAGCUCCGGUGAGUCUGGGGCUGCACCCCCUCCUCCUUUCAAUUCCCUUGCUGUAGUGCCUAAUCGACUGAUCCAUGAAACGGCGUGACGUGUCCGCGCCGCCUCAUCGGUCUUAUGCUGCCUCGACUGGUGCAAGCACCACCACGAUGUCAUCUGCUUCACCACCGGCCAUCAGCACCAUGUGCGUAGAUGUGCGUGAGCUGCUACGCCACACUGCUGCUGCCUCGAAAGAUGCACCAUCCGACGCUCAGGCUGCCGUCUCCGGUCGACAGCGAUACACCGCUGUUGCUCCGUCCGCAGCACCCUCGCAGCCACCCCGGCAGCCGCAGGCGACCCCGCCGCCAUGUCCCAAGGAGUCGACCUUCUGGUCACCGUCAUACCCGCCGUGGGGCGGUUUCGCCGUCAACAGCGGACCACCCCCGCUCUCGCCGACUGACGCUACGAUUCUGCACUCCAUUCUAGGCCAGCCGACCCUGCAAAAAACCGUCCUGUCUGGCUUUGAUCAAGUGAUCGCUCGUACGAGUAGCCCGCUGACACGGGAGCCUCGGACACGGCGGCCCUCGGUGGCGAGCACGAGCCUACCGCCUAUGGACAACUCGCCCACGUGGGGUACGCCAGCGUACGCCGGCGAUAGCGUGCAGACCUUCGAAGUCGGCGCGGCGACUCCACUCUCGUCGUUAUCUGAGAAGGACACGCCCCCGCCGACGCCGCUGCGGGACAUGAUGGAGACCUACCUGGAUGGGGAGGGUUUGCACUCUGCCGGUGCUGCGGCGUCCAUGGACUUCUCGCCGGCUGCACAACGGACGAUGAAGAGCAUUCUGGAACAGCUGAACAGCUAUGCCAGCGGGCUUGCAGCGGCACACACGAGGGCAGCGACUGAAAUGCCUACAAGCUCCUACCGUGGAGGCGUGGCCGUGUGGCCGAUAACUUUCCGUCAAGCGGCGAUGCAAGUCAGUGCGGCGGGGCCGUCGGCUGCUUCGCCGCUCCCUUUCAGUGGCGCCUCUGUACACAGGAGGAAGGGAGGCGCUGUCGCCACACGGUCGACGGUGGCCCAGUUGUGGAGGCAGUGCCCGGCGCUUGCCGCGUCAACCUUCAGUAGGGUGGACACCUCCCCGCAGAGAUCUCAAGACACCGUGCAAGCUGUCGUAGCGCCACCGCAGGGCCUUGCGUACGACAGGCCGCACGCCGCUGCCGACCGCAGCACAGUUCCGCUUCGAAAGGCAGUUCAGUCGCCGCCUCGAACCGUACCGCCAGCUUUUCGCCGGCAGCUGCAGUUCGCCGAGGAGGCGCCGACGACGCGCCGACCAAAGCGCAGGUGACGACGCCUCACGUGCGCAUGUAUACUACUGUACUUGCCGGUCUGCCGCCGACAGACGCACAAGCCUCUUGCGUGCGUUGCACACUACUUUUCUUCCGUUGGAACCGCCACUCUGCCUACUGUCGUGCUUCUCUUCUUUUUGUGUCUUAGCGUCUCUCAACAACAACAACAGGGACGCCGUCUCGCUCUGGUUCUGAGGACGCAUCACAGCCGUGGCCCCGGACUUGCGCGCUGCAUGUGGUGAAGAGAUUCUGAGACGGUCGAAGGAUGGCAAAAAUAAUAAGGCUUACUCAUGACUUUCUCUGCUUCAUUGUACAGAAAUGUAUAACGCUAUCAAGUGGUCUGGCGUGCAGUUGUCUGAUGGUGGAGACAAAG